rnacentral:rRNA from 1 species
AACGCACCUUGCACCCCUUGGUAUUCUGAGGGGCACACCCGUUUGAGUGUCGUGAAACCUCAACCUUCUCGGUUUCUUCUGGACACCGAAGGAGGCUUGGACUUUGGAGGCCUUUGCUGGUGUCUCUCUCUUUUGAAGGCCAGCUCCUCUUAAAUGAAUUAGCGGGGUCCUCUUUGCCGAUCCUUGACAUGUGAUAAGAUGUUUCCAUGUCUUGGCUUCUGGCUCUGUUGCUUUUGGGACCCGCUUCUAACCGUCUCAACUUUGCAUCGAGACAACGUUUGAGCACGUCUCCCUUCUCGGGAAAUGCUCUCAACCCCACGAACCCUUGACCUCAAAUCGGGUGAGACUACCCGCUGAACUUAA